rnacentral:misc_RNA from 1 species
UAUUCUCAACCUCAAUAACUUUUGUUACUGAGGCUUGGACUUGGAGGUCGUGCUGGCUCUCGUUAGUCAGCUCCUCUUAAAUGCAUUAGCGUGAACGUUACGGAUCGCUAUCAGUGUGAUAAUUAUCUGCGCUGUUAGUGUUGAAGUAUAAUAAGCUUGCGCUUCUAACCGUCCUUCAGUUGGACACUUACUUGACA